AGCCCGCUUAGCUCAGAGGUUAGAGUAUCGCAUUUGUAAUGCGAUGGUCAUCGGUUCGACUCCGAUAGCCGGCUU
rnacentral:tRNA from 1 species